AUCCCCGGCACAUCCCCGGCACAUCCCGGGAACAUCCCCGGCACAUCCCCGGCACAUCCCGGGAACAUCCCGGGAACAUCCCCGGCACAUCCCCGGCACAUCCCCGGCACAUCCCCGGCACAUCCCGGGAACAUCCCCGGCACAUCCCGGGAACAUCCCGGGAACAUCCCCGGCACAUCCCCGGCACAUCCCGGGAACAUCCCCGGCACAUCCCCGGCACAUCCCGGGCACAUCCCGGGAACAUCCCCGGCACAUCCCCGGCACAUCCCGGGAACAUCCCGGGAACAUCCCCGGCACAUCCCCGGCACAUCCCCGGCACAUCCCCGGCCUCUGCCGGGCACCAAAGACCCUGCCUGGGCUGGGGGGCACCAGCCGAGCCCCCCUUUUGCUGCCCCCAUCCCAAUCCCCCCCGUCCUGCCCAAGGAGCUGCGAGGCACCGAGGAUUUCCCCGUCUACUUUAUUUUUUCCUUUUAUUUUUCUUUUUCUUAUUUUUUUAACUUCUUUCUUUUUUUUUUUGUUUUGUCUCUCCCUUUCCCCCACUUUUUUCCUUUUCUCCUUUUUUCUCCCUUUUUCCUUAUUCCCCCUUUUUCCUCUCUUCCUUUUUCAUUUUUUCUUUAUUCCUCUUAUUUUCCUUCUUUUCACCCUCAUGUUUCUUUAUUCUCCUUUUUCCCUCUUCCUUUUUUCUUUUUUUUUUCUUUUUGCUUUUUCCUCCACUUUUCCUUUUCUACCUCCUUUCCCUUUUCCCUCUAUUCUUCUUUAUUUUACUUUUCCCCUCAUUCCUUUCCCUUUCCUUUUUUAUUUUUCCUUUUUUUCCCAUUUUUUUUCCCCCCCAUUUCCUCCCUCUUUUUUUUUUUUUUUUUUUUUUUUUCCCUUCUUUCCCUUUUCCCUCCACUCUUUAAUUUAAGUAUUUUUGGAACAAGUUUACAGCUGCCAUGGGGGUUUUAUCACCGAUUGCUGCUUUAUUCCCGGGAAGGAGCAGGAAGAGCCGGACUUUGGGAUGCUCGGCCACCCUUCACCCUCACAGGAAAUCCUCUGCCUGCAUCCAGGCUUUUGGGAUUUUGGGAAAUUAUUCUCCCUCUUUGCCAGUCCCUGCUGUUCAGCCCCCUCACUGAUUUUUGGGGGGGUUUCAGUAGAAAAAAGGGUGUUCCCCUUUUUUCCCAUUCCUGGCCCUUUUCCUUCUCCUCCCUCCUCGCCCUUUUUUUUUUUCCCCACCUCCUUGGGGUGUGA
rnacentral:lncRNA from 1 species